CUGCAGGACCAGGUGGAAAAACUCUCGCACAUUGGAAAUAUUACUGCUGCAUACAAAGGAUCAUCUCCCCCAGAGUGACGAUCGAAUCAAAGAGGGGUUGAUAUAUGUCAUUUUUGCAUCUCCAGAAACAUUGGUUGGUGAUCCCUAUUGGAGAACUUGUUUAAAGAAGUUUAACAUUAAGUUGAUUGUAAUUGAUGAGUUUCACACAAUAGCAAUUUGGGGCCAAGAUGAAGGAGACAGAAAAGAUCCCUCUUUCCUGAUGCUACAGUAUUGGCUUUAAGUGCAACUU